rnacentral:rRNA from 1 species
UUAAGCGACUAAGCGUACACGGUGGAUGCCCUGGCAGUCAGAGGCGAUGAAGGACGUGCUAAUCUGCGAUAAGCGUCGGUAAGGUGAUAUGAACCGUUAUAACCGGCGAUUUCCGAAUGGGGAAACCCAGUGUGUUUCGACACACUAUCAUUAACUGAAUCCAUAGGUUAAUGAGGCGAACCGGGGGAACUGAAACAUCUAAGUACCCCGAGGAAAAGAAAUCAACCGAGAUUCCCCCAGUAGCGGCGAGCGAACGGGGAGCAGCCCAGAGCCUGAAUCAGUGUGUGUGUUAGUGGAAGCGUCUGGAAAGGCGCGCGAUACAGGGUGACAGCCCCGUACACAAAAAUGCACAUGUUGUGAGCUCGAUGAGUAGGGCGGGACACGUGGUAUCCUGUCUGAAUAUGGGGGGACCAUCCUCCAAGGCUAAAUACUCCUGACUGACCGAUAGUGAACCAGUACCGUGAGGGAAAGGCGAAAAGAACCCCGGCGAGGGGAGUGAAAAAGAACCUGAAACCGUGUACGUACAAGCAGUGGGAGCACGCUUAGGCGUGUGACUGCGUACCUUUUGUAUAAUGGGUCAGCGACUUAUAUUCUGUAGCAAGGUUAACCGAAUAGGGGAGCCGAAGGGAAACCGAGUCUUAACUGGGCGUUAAGUUGCAGGGUAUAGACCCGAAACCCGGUGAUCUAGCCAUGGGCAGGUUGAAGGUUGGGUAACACUAACUGGAGGACCGAACCGACUAAUGUUGAAAAAUUAGCGGAUGACUUGUGGCUGGGGGUGAAAGGCCAAUCAAACCGGGAGAUAGCUGGUUCUCCCCGAAAGCUAUUUAGGUAGCGCCUCGUGAAUUCAUCUCCGGGGGUAGAGCACUGUUUCGGCAAGGGGGUCAUCCCGACUUACCAACCCGAUGCAAACUGCGAAUACCGGAGAAUGUUAUCACGGGAGACACACGGCGGGUGCUAACGUCCGUCGUGAAGAGGGAAACAACCCAGACCGCCAGCUAAGGUCCCAAAGUCAUGGUUAAGUGGGAAACGAUGUGGGAAGGCCCAGACAGCCAGGAUGUUGGCUUAGAAGCAGCCAUCAUUUAAAGAAAGCGUAAUAGCUCACUGGUCGAGUCGGCCUGCGCGGAAGAUGUAACGGGGCUAAACCAUGCACCGAAGCUGCGGCAGCGACACUAUGUGUUGUUGGGUAGGGGAGCGUUCUGUAAGCCUGUGAAGGUGUACUGUGAGGUAUGCUGGAGGUAUCAGAAGUGCGAAUGCUGACAUAAGUAACGAUAAAGCGGGUGAAAAGCCCGCUCGCCGGAAGACCAAGGGUUCCUGUCCAACGUUAAUCGGGGCAGGGUGAGUCGACCCCUAAGGCGAGGCCGAAAGGCGUAGUCGAUGGGAAACAGGUUAAUAUUCCUGUACUUGGUGUUACUGCGAAGGGGGGACGGAGAAGGCUAUGUUGGCCGGGCGACGGUUGUCCCGGUUUAAGCGUGUAGGCUGGUUUUCCAGGCAAAUCCGGAAAAUCAAGGCUGAGGCGUGAUGACGAGGCACUACGGUGCUGAAGCAACAAAUGCCCUGCUUCCAGGAAAAGCCUCUAAGCAUCAGGUAACAUCAAAUCGUACCCCAAACCGACACAGGUGGUCAGGUAGAGAAUACCAAGGCGCUUGAGAGAACUCGGGUGAAGGAACUAGGCAAAAUGGUGCCGUAACUUCGGGAGAAGGCACGCUGAUAUGUAGGUGAAGUCCCUCGCGGAUGGAGCUGAAAUCAGUCGAAGAUACCAGCUGGCUGCAACUGUUUAUUAAAAACACAGCACUGUGCAAACACGAAAGUGGACGUAUACGGUGUGACGCCUGCCCGGUGCCGGAAGGUUAAUUGAUGGGGUCAGCGCAAGCGAAGCUCUUGAUCGAAGCCCCGGUAAACGGCGGCCGUAACUAUAACGGUCCUAAGGUAGCGAAAUUCCUUGUCGGGUAAGUUCCGACCUGCACGAAUGGCGUAAUGAUGGCCAGGCUGUCUCCACCCGAGACUCAGUGAAAUUGAACUCGCUGUGAAGAUGCAGUGUACCCGCGGCAAGACGGAAAGACCCCGUGAACCUUUACUAUAGCUUGACACUGAACAUUGAGCCUUGAUGUGUAGGAUAGGUGGGAGGCUUUGAAGUGUGGACGCCAGUCUGCAUGGAGCCGACCUUGAAAUACCACCCUUUAAUGUUUGAUGUUCUAACGUUGACCCGUGAUCCGGGUUGCGGACAGUGUCUGGUGGGUAGUUUGACUGGGGCGGUCUCCUCCUAAAGAGUAACGGAGGAGCACGAAGGUUGGCUAAUCCUGGUCGGACAUCAGGAGGUUAGUGCAAUGGCAUAAGCCAGCUUGACUGCGAGCGUGACGGCGCGAGCAGGUGCGAAAGCAGGUCAUAGUGAUCCGGUGGUUCUGAAUGGAAGGGCCAUCGCUCAACGGAUAAAAGGUACUCCGGGGAUAACAGGCUGAUACCGCCCAAGAGUUCAUAUCGACGGCGGUGUUUGGCACCUCGAUGUCGGCUCAUCACAUCCUGGGGCUGAAGUAGGUCCCAAGGGUAUGGCUGUUCGCCAUUUAAAGUGGUACGCGAGCUGGGUUUAGAACGUCGUGAGACAGUUCGGUCCCUAUCUGCCGUGGGCGCUGGAGAACUGAGGGGGGCUGCUCCUAGUACGAGAGGACCGGAGUGGACGCAUCACUGGUGUUCGGGUUGUCAUGCCAAUGGCACUGCCCGGUAGCUAAAUGCGGAAGAGAUAAGUGCUGAAAGCAUCUAAGCACGAAACUUGCCCCGAGAUGAGUUCUCCCUGACCCUUUAAGGGUCCUGAAGGAACGUUGAAGACGACGACGUUGAUAGGCCGGGUGUGUAAGCGCAGCGAUGCGUUGAGCUAACCGGUACUAAUGAACCGUGAGGCUUAACCUU